rnacentral:lncRNA from 1 species
GGGUGGUGAUAAUAUAACCCUAUUCCAUUUUAUAAGUUUUCAGCCGAAGCACUGACUUCUAAAAGGGCUAAAGGUUAAUGGAAAUAUGAUGCAGCCGAAGUACUGACUUGUCAAAGGGCUAAAGGUUAAUGGAAAUGUUAUGUUUUGAGAAGAUAAUAAUCAAAUCGCUUAUUGCCUGUUCUGAUUUUGAUCUUGAUUGACAUGCAUAAACUCAUGAGACUAAUUUACCAAAUAAAACAAUUUCAAGCAGUUGCCACAUCAUACA